rnacentral:tRNA from 1 species
GUGUCUGAAGUCAAAGUGGUCGAGACGCUGGUUUGUGGAACCAGUCAUAACGGGUUCGAGUCCCGUCAGACACC